GUGAAGCUGUGGAGUCACCAUCACUUCGACUUGUUCUUAUCCAUCAUUUCCAGUUUCAAGAGAAGUGUGGACAGAUGAGGUGUGGAGGCAAUACCUAUUGUCUAAGAAUUUUUUCCAUGAAAAAAUAUGGUCCCUUAGAUUGGAUAGAUAGCUAGAAAUCAUCACAAAAUUGGCCCAUAUGCCAAGCUGGAUCAACAGAGACAAAUCUACAUGGUGAUCAUGAUCCAAAUGAGACUCUGGUGAGAAGCACUUUGUCAUCUUGCUGGUGGUAAUCUGAGGAUUGUGCUUGUGGGCAUAUUAAUGAUCGAGAAGAGUCUCCUCCUCAUAAUGUUCUUCACGGGUCGCUUGGAUAUCUCUCUGAGCGAACGAGAUGACCAGGGAAGUGUUACCCUGAUGAGCUCCUCCAGAUCUUGGGUGGGUCAAGUUGUCUUGGAUAGAGAGGGUGACAGCCAAGCAAAGUCCCUACAUCACAGACUGCAUGAUUGCAAGAAUCCACACUUCUCUCUUACUGUACUACCACUGCAAUGACUGAAGAAGGCCCCCAGUGCAUGUGGCAUGUGCCCCUCUCCAGCCUCGUGAAACUUAUCUCUUCGGCUCAUGAUUUCGUUCCAUGAGAACAAGAACUUGUUUGUUGUCUGCAAGGAUAUGGCAAUCUUUUCGUAGCUGUAAAGAACAAAGAUAACAUCAUGAUGAAUAUUCCCCUCGCAUGAUCAUCUUUUGGCUUUCUGAAACCGACAGAUAAAAGAAGAGCUUCUCGUGUCAUGGAUCGUGCAGUAACAGUGUGGUUCUUCCAGUGAAUGGUAACCUCUCCAUUCUGAAGGUGAAGCAUUAGCAGAUCUUCUGUGGGUAUAAACUAUAGAAUCCAACUCUGAUGAGGUCAUGAAGGAAUCAGACCCAAUAGAAAUAUGAUGAGAAGAUAAGAGAUCCAUGAACACCACCAUAUAUGUGUCUAUAUUGUAAUGUAAAGUUGCUAGAAAGAUAUGUCACGGGUGGAUGCAUCUCAUUUCUUGGUUGAUUCAGUGACUUAACAUUGCCACAAGGCUCUUUUUGUGUGUCUCAGAACCUAGUGAGUUCAGGAAGGUGGAACUGGAGGUUUCUUUCAUCAAAGUGUGACUUUGAUGUUUCAUCUACAAUGUUAAUUUGUUCUUCUAUA